GGUGCAGUCCAGCUCCACGGUCGCGCGUCCCACAGCUCCCUUCACGUCCGUUCCUCCGUUUCCCCACCUUGGGAGGGCCAGGACUUCCGAGGCUUUAGGGGGCAGGAAGCUGCGAGAAGGUGGCGCUUGCUUAGGUGAGGCGCGGAGGAUGGUAUUAGAGAGAGGAACGUGACUGGAAGCUCCCUGGCCAUGGACGAUCGCUGGGUUCUAGGCGCCUGCUCGCCCCAGCGGUUGACGGUCACGUGAUACCCCCCAGUGUACCUUUCCUGCAGCGUGUUACGUGGCGCACAGAGAACGUCGCUUCCAGAGGACCGUUUUUUCGUAACUGGCAGUAGUAAUCUGGCGGUUGACACUCUCGUUGCCUGUAUAGGCUGAUGGCCCACUCACCUUUUUAGCUGGGCUCCUGACCUGUCCGGCCAGAAAGUUGCCACUGGGAAACCUGGACCCCUACUGAAUGGAUCUGCUGGCACCUAGACCUCAGAGAAGGGGGAACUGAAGACUGAAAUGGCUGACAUGAUGGUCUGUGACCUGAAAGUUGUUGAAUAGUUGGAGUGUUCUGCAUUCAUGUGGAAGAGGCUAAAGGAUGUUUGAUGAAGCACUAUGGGCUGCCCUGGAAGAGGACUGAAGAAGCAGCUGCAGAAUCAAGGUCUCUGUUGCCCAGGCUAGAGGGCAGUGGUGCAAUCACACCUCACUGCAGCCUCAACAUCCCAGGCUCAGGUGAU
rnacentral:lncRNA from 1 species